AUUGAACGCUGGCGGCAUGCCUUACACAUGCAAGUCGAACGGUAACAGGUCUUCGGAUGCUGACGAGUGGCGAACGGGUGAGUAAUACAUCGGAACGUGCCUAGUAGUGGGGGAUAACUACUCGAAAGAGUGACUAAUACCGCAUGAGAUCUACGGAUGAAAGCAGGGGAUCGCAAGACCUUGUGCUACUAGAGCGGCCGAUGGCAGAUUAGGUAGUUGGUGGGAUAAAAGCUUACCAAGCCGACGAUCUGUAGCUGGUCUGAGAGGACGAUCAGCCACACUGGGACUGAGACACGGCCCAGACUCCUACGGGAGGCAGCAGUAGGGAAUUUUGGACAAUGGGCGAAAGCCUGAUCCAGCAAUGCCGCGUGCAGGAUGAAGGCCUUCGGGUUGUAAACUGCUUUUGUACGGAACGAAAAGCCCCGGGUUAAUACCCUGGGGUCAUGACGGUACCGUAAGAAUAAGCACCGGCUAACUACGUGCCAGCAGCCGCCGUAA
rnacentral:rRNA from 1 species